rnacentral:lncRNA from 1 species
CUGGUCCAUUUCUAGAAAGAAAAAUUAUGGUUUAUGGUUUAUUGGACUUAUACAAAGAGACAGGUGAUGUUUACUUCAUUUCAUAAAUAAAUAAGAACUCAGACAGCCUUAAGAAUAAUGAGUUUUUCUGACUUUUCUUUCUUAUUCAUAUAUACUUGCAGGGGCCAGCAUAGAGCACGACACUGAGAAAGUGCACAGUAAAGCAAUGCUGAAUAAUUGAUUGCAUGAAUGAAUAUCAGAUAACAUAAGGAAGGAGGCUCAAUGAGAUGAAAUGCAACUCUUAGUGAGAGAAGAGGGACUUUUUAACCCUUCAAAAUCGGUAUCUACUCUAAUGUGUCAAGAGGAGUUAGGCCAUGGACAGGCCCACUGUCAGCAAACCUCAAAUAGACUUGAAGACAUGAAAGAAAAUGGGGAUAGAAGCAAGGGCAUGGCAAGAAAUUCCUUUUUAUGGUAAUAGGGUGGGCCCUUGAGUGUUUGUUCCUUCAAAAAUGGCAUCAAAAACAGUGAGACCUUGAUCUGGGCAACGCUGACUUGGCCUAUUUUUCAUUCUACACAGUCUGGGGAGACUGAGAACUUGGAAAUAUCUUUACAGAGAAUAAAGAGAGGCUCCAAGCAGCAGGCUCCCUCACUGGCGUCAUUAUUUGAGCAUUCCUCGCUGCCUGGUCCUAUAAUAAACCAAAGUGGAAGUAAACUUGGCCAAGUCUGAAUCCUCAGUUUUGGCCAUCUUCAAACCUGAGAUUUAUCUUUUCAGGCCGGCUCAGCUGACGUACUUUCGUCCUUGGGUUCCUUAUCAUCUGGAAGUGACAAAUGGAAGGCCUGCAGUGUCUGAUUUAACUAAGCACUGACUACGGCUCAAGCACUAGGUUAAAAGUAUUUUUUUAAAUAUCAGUUAUUUCUUCUAACACUCCUAUAUGGUAGGAAUAUUUUUAUUCUUAUUUGAGGGCUUUUAGGUUUUGGUGCUUUUUGGUGUUUUGUUUUAUUUUUGCCAUUGUAAGCAAGGGUGAGAUGACCAUUUUUGUCCCAUUGGCAGAUAAUUUCCUUAGGAUGACUUCCCGGAAAUGAGAACAGUUACUCAGUCAAUUCUCUUGAGCAGUUUUAAGGCCCUUCAUGCAGAUUGCCAAAGUGCUUUCUGGAAGGUCAGUACCAGUGCACCCUGAGGCCGGCAGGACAUGUGCUUGCUGGUGUCUCAAAGCCUCGCUAGUACAGUGAUGCGCAGCAUGGAGAGUACCAGAAGCUCAUCUUUUUAAUGUACUUGAAAACAAGCUGGAAAGAACCUGGGCUGAGAUGAGAAACCUGGUCCCUGCUCACCACUGACCCUGUGUGACAACCAGUUAGUGCUUCCCUCUCUCUGGGUCUCAAUUUUCUUUAAGUGUGGAAUGCGGAGGGCAGAACAGAAGAUAGUGUACGCUUUUUCAACUCUCAUUUUCCUUGACACUUUGGGAGAAUACAAAAUCUCUUCAGUCAAGAGGUGGCUCAGAACAUAAAUUAGACAAAUUUCCAUAUAACACCUCCAGUUGUAUAUAAAAACUGCUGAGAAAUUGGGUUUUAGAGGUGAGCUUGGUUUUAAUUCUAUCUUCACCAUUGACUCCUUGGGAGAUGGUACAAAAUCAUUUCUUCUUUCUGAGCUCUGGUUUCCACAUCUGUAGAAGGUAGAUAACAAUGUCAUAGGUUUUUAGAAAGGUCAAACAAGUAACGUAUAUAAAGCAUGGCACAUAGUAAGAGCUCAACAAAUAGUAGAUCUCUUUAUAGAGGUAAAUGUAAUACUUCCUUUCCUCCUACUUUUUUUUGAAAUUUUGAUUUCAUUUUUAUUUGAGAUUAUUAUUUUAUAUGUGUAUAUAUAUUUAGCUUUUGAGGAAUAAUUUAUAUACAAAAAAUUGCACACAUUUCACGUAUAUAGUCACGCACUGCAUAACAACAUUUUGGUCAAUGAUUGCUCCCAUAUACGAUGGUGGGCCCAUAACAUUAGUACCAUGCAGCCUAGGUGUGUAGUAGACUAUACCACCUACGUUCAUGUAAAUACACGCUAUGAUGUUUGCACAACCACGAAACCACCCAACGAUGCAGUUUUCAGAACAUAUCCUUGUUGUGAAGCAAUGUAAGUGAUGACUGUACAUCUUGAUGAAUUUGGACAUAUGCAUACACCUAUGAUACCAUCACCACAAUCAAGUUACUAAACGUAUUCAUCACCUCCCAAAAUUUCCUUGUGUUCUAUUUAUGUGUGUGGUAAGAGCAUUUAAUAUAGGAUCUGUCCUCUUCCCAUAUUCUAAAGUGCACAAUACCAUAUUGUUAACCGUAGGUGUUGUGUUGCACAGCACAUCCUCCUCCCACUCGUGAGUAAAGAAUAAUGGGGUUCUUUUUUGUUUGUUUGUUAUACUCCACAGAUAAGUGAGAUUAUGCAAUAUUUGUCUUUCCGUGUCUGGCUUAUUAAAGGCACCUCUAAAUAACUAUUCAAAGAUCCUGAGCACCCAGAGGCUUCAGGAUUCUGGUUUCUUAGCCUAGGCAUCGGCAGUUUCCAGCAUCUUCCAACUUAACUUCCCAGCCCUGAGCACCAUCCACCAAGUCCAUGCGUUUUCAGAUUUAAAGCAGAUUUGAGAGUUCCAUGUUGACCCUCCAUGUAACUAGAGGCACCAUUGCAUGGGUACAAUUCUGUCCCUGACAUCACCAGUUGGCCUCAGUGACUUUGAUAAUGCAGCAGUUUGCUAAUGUCUCUGUCAGUUCAGGGAACUCUUUGAG